rnacentral:rRNA from 1 species
UAGCUAGUUGGUGAGGUAACGGCCCACCAAGGCGACGAUCGGUAGCCGGACUGAGAGGUUGAACGGCCACAUUGGGACUGAGACACGGCCCAGACUCCUACGGGAGGCAGCAGUGGGGAAUAUUGCACAAUGGGGGAAACCCUGAUGCAGCGACGCCGCGUGGAGGAAGAAGGUCUUCGGAUUGUAAACUCCUGUUGUUGAGGAAGAUAAUGACGGUACUCAACAAGGAAGUGACGGCUAACUACGUGCCAGCAGCCGCGGUAAAACGUAGGUCACAAGCGUUGUCCGGAAUUACUGGGUGUAAAGGGAGCGCAGGCGGGAAGACAAGUUGGAAGUGAAAUCCAUGGGCUCAACCCAUGAACUGCUUUCAAAACUGUUUUUCUUGAGUAGUGCAGAGGUAGGCGGAAUUCCCGGUGUAGCGGUGGAAUGCGUCGAUAUCGGGAGGAACACCAGUGGCGAAGGCGGCCUACUGGGCACCAACUGACGCUGAGGCUCGAAAGUGUGGGUAGCAAACAGGAUUAGAUACCCUGGUAGUCCACACUGUAAACGAUGAUUACUAGGUGUUGGUGGAUUGACCCCUUCAGUGCCGCAGUUAACACAAUAAGUAAUCCACCUGGGGAGUACGACCGCAAGGUUGAAACUCAAAGGAAUUGACGGGGGCCCGCACAAGCAGUGGAGUAUGUGGUUUAAUUCGACGCAACGCGAAGAACCUUACCAAGUCUUGACAUCCUGCGACGGUUCUGGAAACAGAACUUUCCUUCGGGACGCAGAGACAGGUGGUGCAUGGUUGUCGUCAGCUCGUGUCGUGAGAUGUUGGGUUAAGUCCCGCAACGAGCGCAACCCUUAUGGUCAGUUACUACGCAAGAGGACUCUGGCCAGACUGCCGUUGACAAAACGGAGGAAGGUGGGGAUGACGUCAAAUCAUCAUGCCAUUUAUGACUUGGGCUACACACGUACUACAAUGGCGUUAAACAAAGAGAAGCAAGACCGCGAGGUGGAGCAAAACUCAGAAACAACGUCCCAGUUCGGACUGCAGGCUGCAACUCGCCUGCACGAAGUCGGAAUUGCUAGUAAUCGCAGAUCAGCAUGCUGCGGUGAAUACGUUCCCGGGCCUUGUACACACCGCCCGUCACACCAUGAGAGCCGGGGGGACCCGAAGUCGGUAGUCUAACCGCAAGGAGGACGCCGCCGAAGGUAAAACUGGUGAUUGGGGUGAAGUCGUAACAAGGUAGCCGUACUAGUAC